GGAUCUGCUCUGGGUAAGUCGGGGCCUAAGGCCAGGUCGAAAGACGUAACCGAUGGACAACAGGUUGAAAUUCCUGUACCUUAAGUAAACAGAACUGUGGGGACACGUGUGGAGAGCACAAGCCGGAAAUGGAAAAGCCGGUGCAAGCGAGGUAGGAGUACAGUAGGCAAAUCCGCUGUACAAUCCGAAGACGUGAUGCGGACCGAAUUAAGAGUAGGGAAGUGUGUGAGCCAUGCGUCAAGAAAAGCCGCUAUUGUUUUACUUAAGCCCGUACCGUAAACCGACACAGGUGGAUGAGGAGAGAAUCCUAAGGCCGACGGGAGAAGCAUUGUUAAGGAACUCGGCAAAAUGACUCCGUAACUUCGGGAGAAGGAGUGCCAGCGAGAGCUGGCCGCAGAGAAUUGGCCCAAGCAACUGUUUAGCAAAAACACAGGUCUAUGCAAAACCGUAAGGUGAAGUGUAUGGGCUGACGCCUGCCCGGUGCUGGAAGGUUAAGAGGAGAGGUUAGCGGCAACGCGAAGCUUUGAAUUUAAGCCCCAGUAAACGGCGGCCGUAACGAUAACGGUCCUAAGGUAGCGAAAUUCCUUGUCGGGUAAGUUCCGACCCGCAUGAAAGGCGUAAUGAUUUGGGCACUGUCUCAACAAUGCACCCGGUGAAAUUGAAAUACCAGUGAAGAUGCUGGUUACCUGCGCCAGGACGGAAAGACCCCAUGGAGCUUUACUCCAGCUUGAUACUGGGAUUCGGUAUUGCAUGUACAGGAUAGGUGGGAGGCUAGGAAGUGAUAACGCCAGUUGUCACGGAGCCGCUGUUGGGAUACCACCCUUGCAGUAUUGGAUUUCUAACCAGCGACCAUGAACUGGUCGGGGGACAAUGUCAGGUGGGGAGUUUGACUGGGGCGGUCGCCUCCGAAAGGGUAUCGGAGGCGCUCAAAGGUUCCCUCAGAAUGGACGGAAACCAUUCGAAGAGUGCAAAGGCAGAAGGGAGCUUGACUGCGACACCGACGGGUGGAGCAGGUACGAAAGUAGGACUUAGUGAUCCGGUGGUAUAAAGUGGGAUUGCCAUCGCUCAACGGAUAAAAGCUACCCUGGGAUAACAGGCUAAUCACUCCCAAGAGUUCACAUCGACGGAGUGGUUUGGCACCUCGAUGUCGGCUCAUCGCAUCCUGGGGCUGAAGUAGGUCCCAAGGGUUGGGCUGUUCGCCCAUUAAAGCGGUACGCGAGCUGGGUUCAGAACGUCGUGAGACAGUUCGGUCCCUAUCCGGCGUGGGCGUAGGAUAUUUGAGAGGAGCUGUCCUUAGUACGAGAGGACCGGGAUGGACUGGCCGCUGGUGUAUCUGUUGCAUACCAAAUGCAUGGCAGAGUAGCCAAGCCGGGACGGGAUAAACGCUGAAGGCAUCUAAGCGCGAAGCCCCCCUCAAGAUGAGAUAUCCCUACGUAAGUAGUAAGACCCCUUGAAGACGACGAGGUAGAUAGGUCAGAGGUGGAAGUACAGUAAUGUAUGGAGCUGACUGAUACUAAUCGGUCGAGGGCAUGACC
rnacentral:rRNA from 1 species